UUUGAUGAAGAACGAGGUUGGGAGUGGGACGAGACAGAGAAGACUUCAAACAACGGGUUUAGUACGUUAAGCUUUAAUUACUACCUUGGUGAUCAAGGUACACAAGUGAAUACAGAUGGAGUUGAGGAAAGUGAAGGUGACACUCACGAGACCAAAGAAGAAGAGGUUGGUAAUGAAGCGGAUACAGAGGAUUCGCCAGUGG
rnacentral:lncRNA from 1 species